rnacentral:rRNA from 1 species
CACGUAGGGGGCAAGCGUUGUCCGGAUUUAUUGGGCGUAAAGAGCUCGUAGGCGGCUUAGUAAGUCGGGUGUGAAACCUCCAGGCUCAACCUGGAGACGCCACCCGAUACUGCUGUGGCUAGAGUCCGGUAGGGGAGCGUGGAAUGCCUGGUGUAGCGGUGAAAUGCGCAGAUAUCAGGAGGAACACCAGCGGCGAAGGCGGCGCUCUGGGCCGGUACUGACGCUGAGGAGCGAAAGCGUGGGGAGCAAACAGG